rnacentral:rRNA from 1 species
GGCGAACGCUGGCGGCGUGCUUAACACAUGCAAGUCGAACGAUGACGACCGAGCUUGCUCGGUCUGAUUAGUGGCGAACGGGUGAGUAACACGUGAGCAACCUGCCCUUCACUCUGGGAUAACCUCGGGAAAUCGGGGCUAAUACCGGAUAUGAGCUCCUGUCGCAUGGCGGGUGUUGGAAAGUUUUUCGGUGAAGGAUGGGCUCGCGGCCUAUCAGUUUGUUGGUGGGGUAGUGGCUCACCAAGGCGAUGACGGGUAGCCGGCCUGAGAGGGCGACCGGCCACACUGGGACUGAGACACGGCCCAGACUCCUACGGGAGGCAGCAGUGGGGAAUAUUGCACAAUGGGCGAAAGCCUGAUGCAGCGACGCCGCGUGAGGGAUGACGGCCUUCGGGUUGUAAACCUCUUUCAGCAGGGAAGAAGCGAAAGUGACGGUACCUGCAGAAGAAGCGCCGGCUAACUACGUG